AACGGCGCAUGGAAUAUGCGUUGCGGACCCGGGGGCAGUACCCGGCGCCUCCACCAGUUUCCCCGCCGGUCCGGUUCGCAUUGCGCAAAUCGAACCGCCGGCGGUUUCAUGGGGGCGAAACAGGCUCGACACGCGUGGUAAAGACCCAUCUUUCGCUCGGCAUGGUUCCGCCGUCAUCGGGCCGUAUCACAAGUGCCAACGAUAACUUCGAGGCGCUCGCUGUCGCUGCAUAAGCGAUAAGCGCGGCACGGGGGGCGCCGGGCAACAGAAGCCCCCCACC
rnacentral:tmRNA from 1 species